rnacentral:rRNA from 1 species
GACGAACGCUGGCGGCAUGCCUAACACAUGCAAGUCGAACGGGACCUUCGGGUCUAGUGGCGCACGGGUGCGUACCGAGUGGGGACUUGCACUUAGGUUCGGAAUACCUCACCGUAGGGGGUGCUAAUAAAGGAUAGUGUAUUCGGGGAAAAGAGUUACCGCCUUUGGAUGGGCCCGCGUUGGAUUAGCUGGUUGGUAGGGUAAUAGCCUAUUAAUGCGACGAUCGAUGGCUGGUGUGUGAGGAUGAUCAGGCACACUGGGACUGAGACACGGCCCAGACUCCUACGGGAGGCAGCAGUGGGGAAUAUUGGACAAUGGGCGAAAGCCUGAGCCAGCAAUGCCGCGUGAGUGAUGAAGGCGUUAGGGUUGUAAAGCUCUUUUACCCGGGAGGAUAAUGACAGUACCGGGAGAAUAAGCUCCGGCUAACUCCGUG